CUAAGAGAAUAUAUCUAUGAGAGGCCAUCUCAUGCCAUUAAUUUCUAAGCAGUCAAUGAGGAAUUCUGCUGUAGAAUUAAUGGCAAAAUAUGGCCCACUGUCUUGGGCAAAUAAAUGUU
rnacentral:precursor_RNA from 10 species